GCCAUUUUCGGGAAGGCCUAACACAUGCAAGUCGAGCGGUAGCACAGAGAGCUUGCUCUCGGGUGACGAGCGGCGGACGGGUGAGUAAUGUCUGGGAAACUGCCUGAUGGAGGGGGAUAACUACUGGAAACGGUAGCUAAUACCGCAUAAUGUCGCAAGACCAAAGUGGGGGACCUUCGGGCCUCAUGCCAUCAGAUGUGCCCAGAUGGGAUUAGCUAGUAGGUGGGGUAACGGCUCACCUAGGCGACGAUCCCUAGCUGGUCUGAGAGGAUGACCAGCCACACUGGAACUGAGACACGGUCCAGACUCCUACGGGAGGCAGCAGUGGGGAAUAUUGCACAAUGGGCGCAAGCCUGAUGCAGCCAUGCCGCGUGUAUGAAGAAGGCCUUCGGGUUGUAAAGUACUUUCAGCGGGGAGGAAGGCGAUAAGGUUAAUAACCUUGUCGAUUGACGUUACCCGCAGAAGAAGCACCGGCUAACUCCGUGCCAGCAGCCGCGGUAAUACGGAGGGUGCAAGCGUUAAUCGGAAUUACUGGGCGUAAAGCGCACGCAGGCGGUCUGUCAAGUCGGAUGUGAAAUCCCCGGGCUCAACCUGGGAACUGCAUUCGAAACUGGCAGGCUAGAGUCUUGUAGAGGGGGGUAGAAUUCCAGGUGUAGCGGUGAAAUGCGUAGAGAUCUGGAGGAAUACCGGUGGCGAAGGCGGCCCCCUGGACAAAGACUGACGCUCAGGUGCGAAAGCGUGGGGAGCAAACAGGAUUAGAUACCCUGGUAGUCCACGCCGUAAACGAUGUCGAUUUGGAGGUUGUGCCCUUGAGGCGUGGCUUCCGGAGCUAACGCGUUAAAUCGACCGCCUGGGGAGUACGGCCGCAAGGUUAAAACUCAAAUGAAUUGACGGGGGCCCGCACAAGCGGUGGAGCAUGUGGUUUAAUUCGAUGCAACGCGAAGAACCUUACCUGGUCUUGACAUCCACAGAACUUACCAGAGAUGGUUUGGUGCCUUCGGGAACUGUGAGACAGGUGCUGCAUGGCUGUCGUCAGCUCGUGUUGUGAAAUGUUGGGUUAAGUCCCGCAACGAGCGCAACCCUUAUCCUUUGUUGCCAGCGGUUAGGCCGGGAACUCAAAGGAGACUGCCAGUGAUAAACUGGAGGAAGGUGGGGAUGACGUCAAGUCAUCAUGGCCCUUACGACCAGGGCUACACACGUGCUACAAUGGCAUAUACAAAGAGAAGCGACCUCGCGAGAGCAAGCGGACCUCAUAAAGUAUGUCGUAGUCCGGAUUGGAGUCUGCAACUCGACUCCAUGAAGUCGGAAUCGCUAGUAAUCGUAGAUCAGAAUGCUACGGUGAAUACGUUCCCGGGCCUUGUACACACCGCCCGUCACACCAUGGGAGUGGGUUGCAAAAGAAGUAGGUAGCUUAACCUUCGGGAGGGCGCUUACCACUUUGUGAAUCCAAAAGG
rnacentral:rRNA from 1 species